AAAUAAGAAGCUUAAAGCAUUUAGUUUCGACCUAAAAGUUAGAUUUAAAUAAAUCCUUAUUUU
rnacentral:tRNA from 1 species